rnacentral:rRNA from 1 species
AUGUCCAACCCGGGUGAUGAUCAUUGGCAUGCACUAGAAAGGGUCUUGCGCUAUCUGAGAGGUACUAUGAGUUACGGAAUUACUUAUUCAGGGCAUCUUGCUGUGCUAGAAGGAUAUAGUGAUUCAAAUUGGAUCUCCGAUGUUGAUGUACUUUACGCAACAAGUGGGUAUGUAUUUACACAUGGUGGUGGCGCAGUGUCAUGGAGGUCUUGCAAGCAAACCAUAUUGACGAGGUCAACUAUGGAAGCAGAAUUAACUGCUUUGGACACAGCUACUGUUGAGGCAGAAUGGCUGCGUGAGCUCUUGAUGGACUUGCCGGUUGUUGAAAAACCUGUACCGGCUAUUCUUAUGAAUUGUGAUAACCAAACGGUUAUCGCUAAAGUGAACAAUUCUAAAGAUAAUGCAAAGUCAUCAAGACACGUGAAAAGACGUUUGAAGUCUGUCAGGAAGUUGAGAAACUCCGGAGUAAUAACUGUUACGUAUAUACAAACAGACAAAAACCUGGCAGAUCCCUUUACAAAGGGACUAUCACGAAAUGUGAUAGAUAUUGCAUCGAGGGAGAUGGGUAUGAGACCCAUAGAUGUUACACCAUAG